rnacentral:rRNA from 1 species
UAACCGGCGAUUUCCGAAUGGGGAAACCCAGUGUGUUUCGACACACUAUCAUUAACUGAAUCCAUAGGUUAAUGAGGCGAACCGGGGGAACUGAAACAUCUAAGUACCCCGAGGAAAAGAAAUCAACCGAGAUUCCCCCAGUAGCGGCGAGCGAACGGGGAGCAGCCCAGAGCCUGAAUCAGUGUGUGUGUUAGUGGAAGCGUCUGGAAAGGCGCGCGAUACAGGGUGACAGCCCCGUACACAAAAAUGCACAUGCUGUGAGCUCGAUGAGUAGGGCGGGACACGUGGUAUCCUGUCUGAAUAUGGGGGGACCAUCCUCCAAGGCUAAAUACUCCUGACUGACCGAUAGUGAACCAGUACCGUGAGGGAAAGGCGAAAAGAACCCCGGCGAGGGGAGUGAAAAAGAACCUGAAACCGUGUACGUACAAGCAGUGGGAGCACAGAGCAAUCUGUGUGACUGCGUACCUUUUGUAUAAUGGGUCAGCGACUUAUAUUCUGUAGCAA